ACUUUGCACUCUCCUCUAGCGGCCGCCUGUCCUUUUUAAGGAACUCCACCCUAGGUGGAGUCCUCACGAUAGUCACACCUCUCCUUUGGGCCUAGCAGGGCCAGAGAAAGACGGAAUCACUCUACCCACUCAGGUUGCCCAGAGAGCACUUUAGGUUCUGACUCGCGUGGGGCGCGAGGUACCCCGUGGGGCAGCUAGGUGCCUCCAAGAAACCCCGCCCCAGAGGACCCGCACGAGUUGCUGCCAUUUUUCGCUGAAGCCCCUGCCCUGGGGCUGGUGUUCUUCUCUAUGAUUCUACCAAUCGUCGGCAUUUUUUUCCUCCCUUCUUUCUUUUUAGGAAGGCGCUGGGGUGUGCGGCGGCAACGGCGGCGGUGAAGGGAUCCUCUUGUGGUAUCUCCUCGUGGGUUCCUGUCUUGAAGGAUUUCUUCUCCGCCUCAACUUUAUGUUCAAGUAGCGCUUUGGGGGUUGGGUUGGUUUUCAUAGCCCCCACCCCCGGCCCUCUCCUUUUAAAGGGUGUGUGGAGUUCAGAGGAUGGGUGGAGAGCGGGCUUGGCCGGAACUGAAUUGGUAGAGGUAAAAGGGGAACGGAGGACCUUAAGCUCUGGCCACUUCGGCCCAGCGAACCCACUUUAUUUUUGUCCAAGGAAAAGCUGCAGGGGGGAGGAUUCUUUUUAGGAAGUCUACUCUGCCGGCCCCUGAUUUUUGGGUUGGAUGCUUGAGAGCUUUGUUUCCCUUGUUCCGAGAGUGGCCCAGCUGGGUCUGAAUCGACUCCCUCCCCUUUCGACCCCCUCCUCAUUUUCCAGCCCGGAGAAAUAGGGGAGUGGGGGCCCAAGAACGAGAAGACGAGAACGCGUCGCCCUGCGCUAUGUCAGAAUGGGGCGGGUGUGAGGGGAACAGCUCUCUUGCGAUCAGCUCAGGAGUAUGAGCCUCCCGGAGGACGGCAUGAGUUCUGGACACUUCAGGAGUCCUCAGCUAGUGACAUGGUCGAUAUGGAUAAACUCAUAAACAACUUGGAGGUCCAACUUAAUUCAGAAGGUGGCUCAAUGCAGGUAUUCAAGCAGGUCACUGCUUCUGUUCGGAACAGAGAUCCCCCUGAGAUAGAAUACAGAAGUAAUAUGACUUCUCCAACACUCCUGGAUGCCAACCCCAUGGAGAACCCAGCACUGUUUAAUGACAUCAAGAUUGAGCCCCCAGAAGAACUUUUGGCUAGUGAUUUCAGCCUGCCCCAAGUGGAACCAGUUGACCUCUCCUUUCACAAGCCCAAGGCUCCUCUCCAGCCUGCUAGCAUGCUACAAGCUCCAAUACGUCCCCCCAAGCCACAGUCUUCUCCCCAGACCCUUGUGGUGUCCACGUCAACAUCUGACAUGAGCACUUCAGCAAACAUUCCUACUGUUCUGACCCCAGGCUCUGUCCUGACCUCCUCUCAGAGCACUGGUAGCCAGCAGAUCUUACAUGUCAUUCACACUAUCCCCUCAGUCAGUCUGCCAAAUAAGAUGGGUGGCCUGAAGACCAUCCCAGUGGUAGUGCAGUCUCUGCCCAUGGUGUAUACUACUUUGCCUGCAGAUGGGGGCCCUGCAGCCAUUACAGUCCCACUCAUUGGAGGAGAUGGUAAAAAUGCUGGAUCAGGUAAGUAACAAUAUUGCCUCUUUCCUGGCCUUCCUGAAUCUAUUCCCUUUUAGAGUCAUCCUAUCUCCUGUCUCUUUUCACUUCCUCCAAUUAUUCUUGCACACUGCUUCAAGAGUAAUCUUUCAAAAGUACUGUUUUUUAUGUCUUUUUAAUGCUUAAGAAUGUACAAUGAGUCUUGAUUAGACCAUGCUUCUCAAACAAGUACAAGUAUGCAUAUCUAUCAGUGACAUAUCAAACAACUUCCUGGAACUUCCACAUUAUUUGAUAUUAAAUAAUUUAAGCAUUUUAUAUUUAAAAUAUGAUUAUCUUGUAUUACAAAAUGCAAAAUUUAAAAACCUGUUAAGAUAAACCACAUGCUUCAAAAAUAGUUGAAGCUUACUAAAGGCAUCCACCCUCGGACUUUUCAGGAGAAUGUGUUUAUUUUAUGCCAUUCAGAAUGCUUUGGUGGGAAAGUUGAGAACAAUAUUUCUAUCUCAAACAUACUUAGCCAGUAUUAGCUCCUGCCUCUACCAAUACUUUCCCUUUUCUCUUCCCUACAAAAGAAGUAAUUGAAAUAUUGUCAUCUUCCCUGUGUUCUUCCUCAUUUGGCAUCUAUCACUUUCCAUUUUACUUAUUUAUUUGCCUGUAUCACAAGAGUUUGGGCAUUAUUCACAACUGAAUUGUAAAUUCCUGAAAAAUAAUACUCUAUCUUAAUUUUUUUAUGUAUGCCUCCAGAGAACUUAACACAGUGCUAGGAGUUGUCUUGCAACAGAUAAUUUGAUGAACAAACAAACUUGAAAAUUUGUCCAAGAGAGAAUUCAAAUGCUAUAAUCUUCCAUUUUAUUUUAUUUUUAAAAUAAGUUCAGAAUUCAGAAAGGUAUAAAUUAAGUCUCUCUUCCACCACUAUCCCCCAACCACUAGUUUUCCUCCCAGAGGUAUAUCUGUUUUAGUUUGUAAUCAGGAAUGAUCAAGGAAAAUUAUGUGGCCUCUAAAGCAGGCUGAUAAUGUUUUGCAUAAAUCGGAAAGGCCAAGGGGUGGAAAUGACUAGGAAGCAGAUUUCAGCUUACUGUAAAAGAGUAUCUACCCUUGAAAUUUGAUGCCCUGUACUAAAUGUAGGAGGCUGAAAAACAACAUACUACUAAGCAUCAAGUUGCUGAGACUCUGCACUGGUCUUCUGAAUACAAAUAUUAUUAUUGACUAGUGGUUAAUUGUGGUAAUGAUAAGUGUUCAUAAUCUUAUUUUGAGAUGUGAUAUCCAUUCCAUAUAUGAAGGGAGAGCCAAACAAACAAACCAAAAAAAGGAAACAAACAAAAAAGGAAAUAAAAUUCCUCGUGUGACAGUUUAUGCUGAGAUAAAGGCAGUGGUAACAUCAAAGGAUGGUUUGAAGGAGCUUUGAAUAGUCCCCAUAAUAUCAUCAGUCCAUCAGAGCCACUCUAAAUAAACAGGAUAAAUUUUAAAUGUGCUCAAUGUGGUUCCAAGCUAAGGGCAUUGGCCCAAUGGUGUCUGUAUUAGUUCGUUUUCAUGCUGCUGAUAAAGACAUACUCGAGACUGGGAAGAAAAAGAGGUUUAAUUGGACUUACAGUUCCACAUAGCUGGGGAGGCCUCAGAAUCAUGGUGGGAGGCAAAAGGCACUUCUUACAUGGUGGCAGCAAGAGAAAAGGAAGAAAGAAUAGCGGAAAGCCCUGAUAAACCCAUCAGAUCUCAUGAGACUUAUUCACUAUCAUGAGAAUAGCAGGGGAAAACUGGCCACCAUGAUUCAAUUAACUCCUCCUGGGUCCCUCCCACAACAUGUGGAAAUUCUGAGAGAUACAAUUCAAGUUGAGAUUUGGGUGGGGGCACAGCCAAACCACAUCAGUAUCCAAAAUGGGGGGCUUACUAAACCUUAGGGGGCACAUAUAAAACAAUUGGAGUGCAAGAAGAAAGUAUCAAAAUUUGUAUUUUCUUACCCUUAAAAAUUGACAGGUAAUAUUGUAUGUUUUAAUCAUCUAUAGCAUGAUGUUUUGAAGUACAUAUGCAUUGUGGAAUGGUUAAAUCUAGCUAAAUAAUAAAUGCAUUACCUCAUUAUCAUUUUUGUGGUGAGAGCACUUAAUGUCCAUUCUCUUUACAAUUUUAAUAAAUAAAAUGUAUCAUCAUUAACUAUACUUGCCUUGCUAUACAAUAGAUCUCUUGAAAUGUAUUCCUCCUAUCUAGCUAUAAUUACGUAUCCUUUGACCAAUAUCUCCCCAUCCCCCUCCCCACUAGCCACCCCAGCCUCUGGUAACUACCAUUCUACUCUACUUGCAUGAGAUUAACUUUUUUAGAUUCCACAUAUGAGUGAGAUCAUGCACUAUUUGUCCUUCUGUGCCUGGCAUAUUUCACUUAACAUAAUGUCCUCCAGGUUCAUCUAUGCUCUCACAAAUGGCAGGAUUUUAUUCUUUGUUAUAACUGAAUAAUAUUAUAUUGUAUAUAUAUAUAUGUCACAUUUCAUUUAUUCAUUCAUUUGUUGAUAGAUAUUUUAGGUUGGUUCCACAUCUUGGCUGUUGUGAAUAAUGCUGCACUAAACAGGGAUGCAGUUAUCUUUUGGGCAUGUGAUUUUAUUUCCUUUGGAUAUAUACCCAGAAGGGAGAUUGCCAGAUCAUACGGUAGUUCUAAUUUUAAGUUUUUGAGGAACCUCCAUACUAUUUUCCAUAAAGGCUAUAACUAGUUUACAUUCCCAUCAACAGUGUGUAAGUGUUCCCUUUUCUCCACAUACUCACCAGCACUUACUGUCUUUUGUCUUUUCGAUAAUAGUCACUCUAACUUAAGUGAGAUGACAUACUACUUUUUGUUUGUUUUCUUAUAAUGUAUACAAAAUUGUAGGAUACCGAUACAUGUAUAUCACAUACAUGCACAAACAUGCACACCUCAAGAUACAUGCUUAAAACUUUUUAGUGAAUGAUAUGCAAAGUAUAGAGACAACUCUUUUAACCAAAUACUUGUUCCCCACCUUAUCACCACCCCCAAGUUUCUUCUCUAUAGAAAUUUUGAAGGUUUCACUGGAUCUAGGAGACUGUUGACCACCUGAUUGAGUUUUUAGGAAUUAGAAACAUCAGGGGUUGAUAAUAAGGAAUAUUUGACAGCUUCUCCCAACAUAGGUGGAAAGGAAGGUUGUAUCAAGCACCUACUAGGUGGUAGGUAUACGUUUCAUCUCAUUGACUUAUUUCUGUUUAGGAGCACAAAGGCCAAGGUGGAUGUUCUCACAUCUGGACUAAUCCUAGAAUUUGAUUUUAGGACAGCCAGGAGCUAUUCAGUGAGUUCAAUUCAACACACACACACACACACACACGUUGAAACUAACUUUUCAGCUGACCCUGUCCUGGUAGCUGGAGAUAGAAAGAUGAAUCAUACCCAGACCACAUCCUAGAGACACUCUCAUUUGAUACCACUCAUAGUGGUAUCAGAACUCUUCAUACUACUCUUACUUUAAAGGCAUUUCUGUUCCCUGCUAUGCAAAAAAAAAAAAUAAAAUGUUAUUCUCUUCCUUCCAUGCAAAUACACUUCUUUCAUCUUGUUUUUUAUUUCUUUAUUUUUCUGUCUUGCUGCCACUUCUUAAGGUGGGACAAACUGGGAAUCCUGAAAAUGAUUAAAGAGGCACAUACAUCUUCAGCUCACACUGCUCCCUUUCUUUGCUUUUAGUGAAAGUUGACCCCACCUCCAUGUCUCCACUGGAAAUUCCAAGUGACAGUGAGGAGAGUACAAUUGAGAGUGGAUCCUCAGCCUUGCAGAGUCUGCAGGGACUACAGCAAGAACCAGCAGCAAUGGCCCAAAUGCAGGGAGAAGAGUCGCUUGACUUGAAGAGAAGACGGAUUCACCAAUGUGACUUUGCAGGAUGCAGCAAAGUGUACACCAAAAGCUCUCACCUGAAAGCUCACCGCAGAAUCCAUACAGGAGAGAAGCCUUAUAAAUGCACCUGGGAUGGCUGCUCCUGGAAAUUUGCUCGCUCAGAUGAGCUCACUCGCCAUUUCCGCAAGCACACAGGCAUCAAGCCUUUUCGGUGCACAGACUGCAACCGCAGCUUUUCUCGUUCUGACCACCUGUCCCUGCAUCGCCGUCGCCAUGACACCAUGUGAGCCGCACAGGUCACACUAGAGAAGCUGCGCUGGUAUCUUUCCUGGUCGUGUGCUGAGGUUGGGACAAUUUUUUCCUCUUUGACUUCAGCUUGCAUAUGGGGUUGAAGCAGCCCACUGAGCCAAGUUGAGGAGACUGGAGGAAAAGAGAGCUGGUCUCCCGUGGGGCUCUUCAUAUUCUACCUUCACUUCUCCACUGUCCAGACCCGUUUUUUUCAACCUCCACAUGGGUUGAAUUCCAGUGUGGCACCCAUGGCUGCCUUCCCAUCCCCCCCUGCUCUGAAAUAGGACAUUUUUCCUACAGUAACAAAACAGGAAUCAAACUCAAGGCUGUGAACAAACAUACGCUGCUUUAUUCUUUCCAAUUUUUCUCUUGUUUUCUAGAACUCUUAUCCAUAUGUUUUUAAAAUAAGUACCUAAAAGUGGUUUGAUAGUGUCCUAAACGACUUUUUUAACUUCCUAAAUGGAAAGAGCAUAACAAUGUAGUUGAUUGGUAAGAUUUACAGGGAUUUGGUUUCUGAGUUUGAGGCACAUUCCCAGUGAAUAAGCUGAGUCCCAUACCACACUCAAAAGGUUUUAAUAAAUCUAAUCCUAUUUCUUCUUAAAGUUUGGUUUUCAGACAGUGCUGGUGCUUCUGCUUCUUAAGUUCAUCAAGGGAAUGAGGAGUUCUUGUCCUUCUCCUCCUCUUUUUUUUCUUUUCCACUUUCUCCUUCAGGAUUAAAGAUUUUGCUGCACAAUUGUUAUUUGUUAGGUUAAAUUUGGACAAAUAUUCAAAGCACACAUAGACAUAUAAGUAAGGAGAAAAAUGUUCCAGGAGAGUAGGUUGGGCAGUGACAGGAACAAACAGACCUAGGAUGAUCCUGAGAACAAAUAGAGGGGUUCCUUUACUUGUAUAGGAUAUCAAAAGUGCUGUUAAUCACAAACCUCAUUCAAAUGGCAGGCUGUCGAGACAGUGUCUUGAGGGGCUGGCUGUACUGUUUAUUUUUUCGUUUACACAAAGAAGCAAUUGAGUAUAUUGCAUGAUGAGAAAUCACACACUAGGGUCAUGUUAUACAGAAGUAAGGGGUUGGAAAAAUGGAAUGUUGUUCACUCCAUGGAAUUAUUGGCAUUCAUUCCUGUGUUUCAAAUGAAACAUAGAUGCUUUUCAUGAAAACUGACCUACAAAAAGCAAUUUGAUGUUCUGCAACUGCUAUGAAAACCUAAGCCAUUUAUUUUAGCUGAUAGCAGAUUGCAUAAUAUACUCAUUUAGCUGCCCAAUCAGAUUGUUUUAUAAUAUUACCUGGGGUACAAAAUCCUCUGUUCCUGGCCCUGGACCACAGAUCUACCUCCACAUGGCAUAUUUCCUUUCUGGGGUCAGGGGUAGGGGAGGGGGCUUUGCAUCACUUGAAUUUAGACUCAGCCUCUCUUUAAAAGAUUGUCUUUAUAUUGAACACCUUUUUCUUUUCAACCCUGCUUGAAUACUUUAGGUUACUAUUUCCUGAGGCUGUCCAUUCUCACUAUAUUGUAGAAUUCUAGCACCAAGAAGGGAUCCCGUUAACCAUCUAGUCCUAUCCAUCCCUCAUAUUUUACAGAUGAGACAAAUACGGGUCAGAUUUUUUUCUCCAGAUGUUUCUUUGAGCCCUUAUACACCUGCACGCUUAUUCUCCUGGGGAUCACAUAAUUUUAUUUAUUUAUUUUUUGAGAGACGGUUUCACUCCAUCACCCAGGCUGGAGUGCAGUGGCGUAAUCUUGGCUCACUGCAACCUCCGCCUCCUGGGUUCAAGUGAUUCUCCUGCCUCAGCCUCCCAAAUAGCUUGGAUUACAGGUGCGUGCCACCACACCUAGCUAAGUUUUGUAUUAUUAGUAGAGAUGGGGUUUCGCCAUGUUGGCCAGGCUGGUCUCAAACUCCUGACCUCAAGUGAUCCCCCCACCUCGGCCUCCCAAAGUGCUGGGAUCACAGGUGUGAGUCACCACACCUGGCCAGGAUCACAUUAUUAAACCAAAUUAAAGUUUAUGUGAUUGGUUGCAAUAUUUGUCUAAUUUUAUAUGUUUUCUUCAGGAAAACUUUAGAACUCAAAAAUCAUUUACAGCUGAUUAAAUAGCAAGUAAAAUGUACUUGUGGUCAUUGCCGUAUAACAUUAGGCACACGCUUCUAACACUUCUAUAAUAUCUAGAUUUUAUUUACCUCAUUUUAACUUGCAAUGUCUGUCUAUCUCAUGAACUCUCCAUAAAUCCAAGAACUGCCUGUAGUUUUCAAAAUGACAUGUGGGUUUUUACUGUUAUCAUUGUUAUUUCGAUAGGGCUUUUUCCUGAUUUUGGGUAUACAAGUUCCAAACUUGCAUAAUAAUUGCUAACGCACUAGGCGAUAUCUAGGGCCAGUCUGUUAAAGGGGACCUCUAAUGUAGCUAUAAGACAGGUUGGUAAAGAUGAACUAACAUAAGUUUAAGCUAAUAAUUCAGUAGUUGAUGCAGUAUUUCACAGUAGAGCCCGAGCUUACUCAUUUUUUUCAAAAUUUGGAUCCUGAUACUCCUUUUUCAGAGUUCAGAACUGAACUGCUCCCCUAAGACCUCAGAAUCUUUUGCAUUGAGACAUAUGAUCUAUUUAUAAAUAAAGGUUAUCAAAUAUCUUGUUGAACUAAUUAGGUUGAUCAAAUUAGGAUCCCAAAUAUUGGGGUCCCUGACAUCUGAGCCUUUAUCUAAAAAUGUUUCUGUAACAUAAUGACAGCCUUUAUGUUUGUUAAUUGCCUAUAGUAAAGAAGCAAUUUUAAGCCUAUUCUCAUUUCCCUCUCCCCUACAAAAAAUGAUAAAAGCUUUCCAAUUACUUACAUAUGCUCUAACAAGUGUCUCAGGAUUCAUUAACAGAAUUUUAUAGAGUACAGUAAUUCAAAUAUAGCACAGUACAGAGUUUACCAAAAACACAUAAAACUUUGCUAGAUAGACAGUGAGGUGGAAAGGAACUAAAAUGUAUCUCUCUUGAAUAGCAUUUGGGGUUCAAUUGAAUUUGUUGUGUUUACAACAGCAAAGCACCGUUAGCCUGGACAGUUGCUUAUGGCAUCGAUAGGGUUGGAUAAUAUUCUGGGAUUUGUUGCAGCAGAAUUCCUCUAUCUGAUGAUCAGCAGUUGAACAUAAACUUCAUAAUUAUAGUAAAAUUUAGGAAAAACUAUGAGUGUGAAGAGUAUGAACUGAUUGGGUAGAUUAGGCAGAGUGCAUUAUGGGCAAGACAAAGGUUUUCGAUAUUAACUUCUUUUAAAAUAAACUUUUUAUUUUCAAACAGUUUCAGUUUUACAGAAAAAAUGUGAAGCUAGUACAGAGAGGUCUCAUUUACCCCACACCCAGUUUCUCCUGUUAUUAGCAUCUCACAUUAAUAUGUGGUAUAUUUGUUACAAUUAAUAAAACACAUUGAUAUGUUAAUAUUAUUAACUGAAGUCCAUACUUUAUUCAGGUUUCUUUAGUUUUUACCUAAGAUCCUUUUUAAAGAAUUGUUUCGGCCAGGCACUGUGGCUCACACCUGUAAUCCCAGCACUUUGGGAGGCCAAGACGGGCGGAUCACGAAGUCAGGAGUUCGAGACCAACCUGGACAACAUGGUGAAACCACGUCUCUAUUAAAAAUACAAAAAAUUAGCCAGGCGUAGUGGUGGGUGCCUGUAAUCCCAGCAAUACUUGAGAGGCUGAGGCAAGAGAAUUGCUUGAACCUGGGAGGCGGAGGUUGCAGUGAGCUGAGAUCAUGCCACUUCACUCCAGCCUGGGUGACAGAGCGACACACUUGAUCUCAAAAAAAAAAAAAUUGUUUCAGCAUCUUGUUCAGGAUUCCACAUUACAUCUAAUAGUCAUAUCUCCUUAGGAUCCUUUUGAUUGUGACAGUUUCUCAGACUUUCCUUGUUUUCAGUGACCUUGACACUUUUGAGAGAGAUUUUCCUCAACUGGGAUUUGUCAGUUGUCUUUCUCAUGAUUAGACUGAGGUUAUGAGUUUUUGAAAGUAGGACCACGGAGAAGAAGUGCCAUUUUCAUCACAUCAUACAGGCAUACUUUGGAGACAAUGCAGAUUUGGUUCCAGAUCACUGCAAUGAAGCAAAUAUUACAAUAAAGCAAGUCACACAAAUUUUUUGGUUUCCCAGUGCAUAUAAAAUUUUAUGUUUACACUAUCCUGUAGUCUGGUAAAUGUGCAAUAGCAUUAUGUCUAAAAAACAAUGUACAUACCUUAUUUUAAAAUACUUUAUUGCUAACAUGUUACUGGCACAAACACGAAGUGAGCACAUGCUGUUGGAAAAAUGGUGCCAAUAGACUUGUUGGUCACAGGGUUGCCACAAACUUUUAAUUUGUAAAAAAUGCAAUAUCAGCAAAGUGCAAUAAAGUGAAGCACAAUAAAACGAGGUAUGCCUGUAUUUACAUGACUCAUCACUGUUGUUUAACCUUGAUCACCUGGCUGAAAUAGUUGUUGUCAGGUUUCUCCCCUGUACUCUUUUUUUCCUCCCCUCCAUACUGUACUCUCUGAAAGGAAAUCACUAUGUGCAGCCCAUGCUUCUGGAGUGGUAAGUUAUAUGCCACACCCUUCAGAGCAUGUAUCUUACAUAAAUUAUUUGGAAUUAUUCUCUAAGGGAGAUUGUCUCUUCUCCCCCAUUUAUUUAUUUAUACAAUACUUUAUUUAUAUCAGCAUGGACUCAUGGGUAUUUAUUUUAUACUUCGAGUUAUAAUCUAAUACUACUACUUUAUUUUAUUGCUCGAAUUGUUCCAGCUUUGGCCAUUGGGAGCUCUUUUGGGUGAUUCUCAAGUUCUUUUGACACACCCCCAUCAUUUUUUUUUAGCACGUCCUUACUUUCUGCCACUGCAAGAUCUUCCAGGCUCAUCUUGUAUAUUUUGUGGCCUACUCCUAUAAUCAGCCAUUUCUUCAAGAAGUCCUGGUUUCUUUUACUGGAAAAUUGUAUUAGAAACCAAUAUCUGGGCAUUAGGUAUGUUCAUUGUUACUGGGCUAUUGUUGCUUCUAGGGUGUCUCAGCUAACAGCAAGGAAACAUAUGUGUGUAUACUAUCCUAUGUAUAUGCACAUUCUAUAAAUAUUUCUAUAUGUAAUCACCCAGAUUUUUAUUUAGCUAAACAUGAGUUCAUAUUGAUGUUUUCAACUCUAACCUGUUACCACGUGAAUCAUUCUAGCUUCUUCCUGUUAGUUACAUGAAGCCUCCCACACUAAUACUGAGAAACCUGGCUCUCAACCUCUGUCAUCUAUUUACUUAAUUUUUCAAAUUCAGUGUGCACAUAUAGCAGUAUCUGAAUUGUUAACCUGUAUACCCAUGGGAAACAACUUUAUCAACUACAGCACAGUGUGUAUGUACAUAAAAAUAGUAAUAUUUUUAGAACUCCAACAGCUCUUUGAAACAAAGUGGUCUGCAAAAUUCUGGAAUUAGGGAUUUCUGUGAUCUGAGUUCCAAGAUUCUGGGGUCUAUCCUGCCCCCAAAAAGUUUUCUCAUGAACCAAACCAUCAAGAAUGUACCUAACCUUAAAUAAGCCAAGGGAACUUACUGAUGCUCCACAGUUUGCUAAUUCUUGUAUGAGGUACUGUAGAGGGAUGGAUACAGAAGGAACUGGGUGGGCCAAAUUUAAAUAAACACAUAGCACUAUCUUUUCUCACUGUUAAAUAUGGCUCUCUGACAACAGUGAUGCUACCCUGAGUUACCUCUCUUCUGUAUUUUCCCAGAUCUCACUUGGUUGACCUUAGGCAAGUCAUAUCACCUCUCUGUGCCUCAAUUAAUCCAUUUGCAAAAUGGGGAUCUCAAUAUCUACCUCACAGGAAUGUUGUGAGGCUUCUCAUAAAUUGAUUUUGGCAAAAAUGAAAGAUCUUUAAGUGAACAACCAAGUAUUAUAACCAUUGUUAUAAUGAUAGUUAUAGUACCUUAUAUUUACCCUAUGUAAAAGAGAAGAUUAGGCUUCCUAGGUGAUAAACAGAUAAAUUUGAGUAAGAAGGAUAAUUAAAGAGUGGCCACUGGAAGCAAUAUUAUUUAUUCUCUUACUUUCACUUUCCCUAUAUCUUCUUUGUUACUAACAAUACGAUUAUCAUCUGUUUCCAUACUUGAAAUGUAUUAGGACCUAAAGGAAGAGGUAGGCAAAAUUCAUUGCUUCAGAAGCUGUAUUCUUCCCCCUUUGUAACUCUGCUUGGACCACAUUCCAUGUCACAUUCUCAGAAGCACAAAGGCAAUUUUCCAGAGCCCUUUAAGCUUUGGCCAGUUCAGUUUCACCACUUAUAUUUUCUCUUUCCCAACUUACUUUACUCUGAAUAGUAUAGGUAGGAGGAGGGAAGUUGGGUAGGGUGGUUGGGGGUGGGAGUGGGUUGGAAGAGGAUGGGAUUUAUACCAGUGGCAGGAUAUUUCUCUGUUUUCCAAACACUGGUUUUAAUUUCCAUUUCCUUUUCUGGUGUUGGGGUGGGGUCAGGGGAAGAGAUACUAUUUUGUUAACUGUUAAAAGCUCUCCUUCCUUUCCUAGAGUCGCUACAAGUAGCUGUGUUGGACAUUACUUUAUAACUAUGCUGUAUGCCAUGCUGUUUUCAUUGUAUCACAGAAUUAAAAGGGGAAGAGAGUUCCUAGUGGUGUCCAUCCCUGUUUUUUGACAGGCAGUCACACAGGUGAGCAGUGCCAGAAACUGGUUCUCUUUUUUGUGUUGGGGAAAGGAGCCUGCAGUGAAAGGAUCAGUUGGAUUUUUUGUCAUUGUUAGUUUGUUUAAAUAAAUUAUAAGACAGUAUAUUAAGCUUUAGUCUCUGUAACUCUUAUGUUUGUGCCCCAUUAUUUUAGUGCUUUAGAGCAACACCUUGUUUUUCCUCUAUUUUAUACUAGUUCUUGCUCCAGAGGCAUGGCUUUGAGGCUAGAAUCAUGAGCAAUCUCUCAUAAACAAGUCUGUUAUGCACCUGGAGAUACUCAAGAUUUGCCUCUGUUAGCAUGGCCACUUAGAGAUUACUCUGUUCUACUUCAGAGACCCUCCACUAUGGCAUCCAUGCAGGGUGUGUGCUUGGGGACUAAGCAAUCUUGUUCAGUUUAAUUAUUGUACUUUUUUAUUAAUAAAAAGGUCUUAAACUUCAGAAA